rnacentral:sRNA from 1 species
GAUAGUGAAGCUGAACACACCAACCACAAGUGGUGACUGGAAAGCCUUCAACAGCGUAGCUCUGCCUCUCCGGCUCUCUGAGCCUCACUUCACAGAAGACGGAAUGGCGUCCCUGGAGGGUGUGGGGAUCCAGAGCUACCUCUGCCCUGGCAUCUGCAAAUGAACUUAUUUACAUUUCUGUGGCUUUCUCUUUGGGAAGAUGAUGCUCACCAACAUGCUGUCAGAAGUGGUUAAACAAAGAACGUAAGAAGACCAAGACCAAGCGUAAGAAGUGCUCAACCAAGAAAACUGAGAAGGAGACUGCAGAGCAUACUAAUCUUCUGGCCAAGACAAUGAAAGAAGCCAAAGUAAAACCCCGAAAGAGGCUGCCAAGAGACAUGGACUGUCCUCCCUGAGAGCUUCUACUUCUAAGUCUGAUGUAGUCAGAAAUAAGAGUCUUUAAGAGUCACGAAUAAACAACCAGACUUUGAACCUCAAAACAUCAAGGACAAAAUCCUGUCCCUCAUCUCUUCACCUUUGAGAGUGGCUUUCAGCACCAGCAUCUCCCAGGGUAUUGGCUGGGCUUUAUUUUAUGCCGCAGUCACCUUCUAUCUAUAAAUUUUUCCAAGGUAGAUCCAUCUAUCU